UACGUAGGGGGCAAGCGUUGUCCGGAUUUAUUGGGCGUAAAGAGCGUGUAGGCGGCCAUACAGGUCAGCUGUGAAAACUCGAGGCUCAACCUCGAGACGUCGGUUGAAACCGUAUGGCUAGAGUCCGGAAGAGGAGAGUGGAAUUCCCGGUGUAGCGGUGAAAUGCGCAGAUAUCGGGAAGAACACCCGUGGCGAAAGCGGCUCACUGGACCACAACUGACGCUGAGGCGCGAAAGCUAGGGGAGCAAACAGG
rnacentral:rRNA from 1 species